AAAGGUUUGGUCCUGGCCUUAUUAUUAGUUGUCAGUAGGAUUAUACAUGCAAGUAUCCGCUAACCAGUGAAAAUGCCCUUAUACUCGUUCAACACCAAACGUUCCAAAGGAGCCGGUAUCAAGCACACUCAUAAGUAGCUCAAGACAUCUUGCUCAGCCACACCCCCACGGGAUACAGCAGUAGUAAAUAUUAAGCAAUAAACGAAAGUUUGACUAAGCCAUACUGAUAGAGGGUUGGUUAAUCUCGUGCCAGCCACCGCGGUCAUACGAUUGACCCAAAUUAAUAAUUUAACGGCGUGAAGUGUGGUUAAACAUUUAACAUAUUAAUAAAGUUAAACUAGCUCUCAGCCGUAAAAAGCUAAAGAUCUAAGGCAAACCAACUACUAACGUAACUUUACCUAUAAUGAACCCACGAUAGCUAAGACACAAACUGGGAUUAGAUACCCCACUAUGCCUAGCCGUAAACUUUGAUAAUUAGUAACAAAAUUAUCCGCCAGAGAACUACAAGCCAGCGCUUAAAACUCAAAGGACUUGGCGGUGCUUUAUACCCCCUAGAGGAGCCUGUUACGUAAUCGAUAAACCCCGAUAAACCCUACCAUCACUUGCUAAACCAGUCUAUAUACCGCCAUCUUCAGCAAACCCUUAAAAGGAACAGUAGUAAGCUUAAACGCACUCGCAAAAACGUUAGGUCAAGGUGUAACCCAUGUGAUGGGGCAUAAUGGGCUACAUUUUCUACAUAAGAACAAUUACGGACUCGCGCAUGAAACUGCUAGACAAAGGAGGAUUUAGAAGUAAGUUAAGAAUAAAGAGCUUGACUGAAUUUGGCCAUGAAGCACGCACACACCGCCCGUCACCCUCCUCAAGUAUUUUAGAGUUAUAACCCUAUUUAAUUACAACAAAUAUGAGAGGAGACAAGUCGUAACAAGGUAAGCAUACUGGAAAGUGUGCUUGGAAUACC
rnacentral:ncRNA from 1 species